rnacentral:rRNA from 1 species
UACAGAGGUCUCAAGCGUUGUUCGGAUUCAUUGGGCGUAAAGGGUGCGUAGGCGGCGCGGUAAGUCGGGUGUGAAAUCUCGGGGCUUAACUCCGAAACUGCAUUCGAUACUGCCGUGCUUGAGGACUGGAGAGGAGACGUGGAAUUUACGGUGUAGCGGUGAAAUGCGUAGAUAUCGUAAGGAAGACCAGUGGCGAAGGCGGGUCUCUGGACAGCUUC